GGGGGGACGCAGUAGGAUAGGCGAAGCGUACGAUUGGAUUGUACGUCUAAGCAGUGAGAUUGAGUGUUAGGCAAAUCCGGCACUCUUAAGAUUGAGCUGUGAUGGGGAGAGGAAAUUGUUUCCUCGAGUCGUUGAUUUCACACUGCCGAGAAAAGCCUCUAGAUAGAUAAUAGGUGCCCGUACCGCAAACCGACACAGGUAGUCAAGAUGAGAAUUCUAAGGUGAGCGAGCGAACUCUCGUUAAGGAACUCGGCAAAAUGACCCCGUAACUUCGGGAGAAGGGGUGCUCUUUAGGGUGCAAGCCCAGAAGAGCCGCAGUGAAUAGGCCCAAGCGACUGUUUAUCAAAAACACAGGUCUCUGCUAAACCGUAAGGUGAUGUAUAGGGGCUGACGCCUGCCCGGUGCUGGAAGGUUAAGAGGAGUGGUUAGCUUCUGCGAAGCUACGAAUCGAAGCCCCAGUAAACGGCGGCCGUAACUAUAACGGUCCUAAGGUAGCGAAAUUCCUUGUCGGGUAAGUUCCGACCCGCACGAAAGGCGUAACGAUUUGGGCACUGUCUCAACGAGAGACUCGGUGAAAUCAUAGUACCUGUGAAGAUGCAGGUUACCCGCGACAGGACGGAAAGACCCCGUGGAGCUUUACUGUAGCCUGAUAUUGAAAUUCGGCACAGCUUGUACAGGAUAGGUAGGAGCCUUUGAAACGUGAGCGCUAGCUUACGUGGAGGCGCUGGUGGGAUACUACCCUAGCUGUGUUGGCUUUCUAACCCGCACCACUUAUCGUGGUGGGAGACAGUGUCAGGCGGGCAGUUUGACUGGGGCGGUCGCCUCCUAAAAGGUAACGGAGGCGCUCAAAGGUUCCCUCAGAAUGGUUGGAAAUCAUUCAUAGAGUGUAAAGGCAUAAGGGAGCUUGACUGCGAGACCUACAAGUCGAGCAGGGUCGAAAGACGGACUUAGUGAUCCGGUGGUUCCGCAUGGAAGGGCCAUCGCUCAACGGAUAAAAGCUACCCCGGGGAUAACAGGCUUAUCUCCCCCAAGAGUUCACAUCGACGGGGAGGUUUGGCACCUCGAUGUCGGCUCAUCGCAUCCUGGGGCUGUAGUCGGUCCCAAGGGUUGGGCUGUUCGCCCAUUAAAGCGGUACGCGAGCUGGGUUCAGAACGUCGUGAGACAGUUCGGUCCCUAUCCGUCGUGGGCGUAGGAAAUUUGAGAGGAGCUGUCCUUAGUACGAGAGGACCGGGAUGGACAUACCUCUGGUGUACCAGUUGUCGUGCCAACGGCAUAGCUGGGUAGCUAUGUAUGGACGGGAUAAGUGCUGAAAGCAUCUAAGCAUGAAGCCCCCCUCAAGAUGAGAUUUCCCAACUUCGGUUAUAAGAUCCCUCAAAGAUGAUGAGGUUAAUAGGUUCGAGGUGGAAGCGUGGUGACACGUGGAGCUGACGAAUACUAAUCGAUCGAAGA
rnacentral:rRNA from 1 species